rnacentral:rRNA from 1 species
CCUACGGGAGGCAGCAGUGGGGAAUAUUGGGCAAUGGGCGCAAGCCUGACCCAGCAACGCCGCGUGAAGGAAGAAGGCUUUCGGGUUGUAAACUUCUUUUCUGAGGGACGAAGAAAGUGACGGUACCUCAGGAAUAAGCCACGGCUAACUACGUGCCAGCAGCCGCGGUAAUACGUAGGUGGCAAGCGUUAUCCGGAUUUAUGGGGUGUAAAGGGCGUGUAGGCGGGAAAGCAAGUCAGAUGUGAAAACUCAGGGCUCAACCCUGGGCCUGCAUUUGAAACUGUCUUUCUUGAGUGCGGGAGAGGCAAGCGGAAUUCGGUGUGUAGCGGUGAAAUGCGUAGAUAUACGGAGGAACACCAGUGGCGAAGGCGGAUUGCUGGACAGUAACUGACGCUGAGGCGCGAAAGCGUGGGGAGCGAACAGGAUUAGAUACCCGUGUAGUC